rnacentral:lncRNA from 1 species
UUUUACUUGAUCCGUCUGGUAUAUAGGUGGGAAGCCUAAUUUUUGUAUCAUUUAACAUGGAGGACCAGAAUUUCCAAUUGGUUGUGACAUAUGUUCUCAUUGUUGUUAUGCUUUCAUUUGGCGAUCUCUACUUGACUAUAAAUUUUUCAUGGUUCUUUGUCUUUUAAGAGGAUCUAAUUUUCGCAUUGGUUUCAUGUUGGGGUCAGGGGGAAUAUCGAUUGUGUGUAGAUGUGGUGGAGAUUAUCAAGGACAUGGACUGUGAAAGCACAAAUUUGAACUUACAGGGGAGAUAGCCUAUGAAUGUAAUGUGGGAUUGAAAGUUGCGACGACAGGCCUCACUAUAAAACGGGUUAUGUUCCCCCUUAACUGUACUUGUUCUUGAAAGUCGUUGUCUUUGAGAUGGUGUCAUGUGGCGAUGUUUAUUUUUGUGAUUUUAUCAGGAAUUUUCCAUACUAAUAUGAUGGGUAGAGAACAACAAACAACUCUAGAUAAAUCCAGAUUUUUCUAAUAGUUGUGCUCCUUUAUUAUUUUUUCAUUGGUUUGAUCGCAUGUAUUAUGAAACCUGUUUUCUGCUGUGUUGUAGUUUUCUUCAAG